rnacentral:rRNA from 1 species
AACGAACGCUGGCGGCAUGCCUAACACAUGCAAGUCGAACGAGACCUUCGGGUCUAGUGGCGCACGGGUGCGUAACGCGUGGGAAUCUGCCCUUGGGUUCGGAAUAACUCAGAGAAAUUUGAGCUAAUACCGGAUGAUGACGAAAGUCCAAAGAUUUAUCGCCCAGGGAUGAGCCCGCGUAAGAUUAGCUUGUUGGUGGGGUAAUGGCCUACCAAGGCGACGAUCUCUAGCUGGUCUGAGAGGAUGAUCAGCCACACUGGGACUGAGACACGGCCCAGACUCCUACGGGAGGCAGCAGUGGGGAAUAUUGGACAAUGGGCGCAAGCCUGAUCCAGCAAUGCCGCGUGAGUGAUGAAGGCCUUAGGGUUGCAAAGCUCUUUUACCAGGGAUGAUAAUGACAGUACCUGGAGAAUAAGCUCCGGCUAACUCCGUGCCAGCAGCCGCGGUAAAGUACAGUGU